rnacentral:rRNA from 1 species
AACGAACGCUGGCGGCGUGGAUAAGACAUGCAAGUCGAACGGGACAACAUCUGUAGCAAUACAGGUGUUGUUUAGUGGCGAACGGGUGCGUAACACGUGGGCAAUCUGCCGAGAAGUGGGGGAUAGCUCGCCGAAAGGCGAAUUAAUACCGCAUAUGAUCAGUGAAGACAUCUUCACGACAUCAAAGCCGGGGCAACCUGGCGCUUCUUGAUGAGCCCGCGGCCUAUCAGCUAGUUGGUGAGGUAACGCUCACCAAGGCUAUGACGGGUAGCUGGUCUGAGAGGACGACCAGUCACACUGGAACUGAGACACGGUCCAGACACCUACGGGUGCAGCAGUCGAGUAAUUUUUC